rnacentral:rRNA from 1 species
GAUGAACGCUGGCGGCGUGCCUAAUACAUGCAAGUCGAACGCUGGAGAUCUAGCUUGCUAGAUCGAAGGAGUGGCGAACGGGUGAGUAAUACAUAAGCAACCUACCCACGAAGACUGGGAUAAUCUCUGGAAACGGGGACUAAUACCGGAUAGGUAAUCGGAAGGCAUCUUCUGGUUAUUAAAGGUUAAAAACACUGGUGGAUGGGCUUAUGGCGCAUUAGUUAGUUGGUGAGGUGACGGCCCACCAAGACGAUGAUGCGUAGCCGGCCUGAGAGGGUGAACGGCCACAUUGGGACUGAGACACGGCCCAGACUCCUACGGGAGGCAGCAGUAGGGAAUUUUCGGCAAUGGGGGCAACCCUGACCGAGCAACGCCGCGUGAGUGAAGACGGCCUUCGGGUUGUAAAGCUCUGUUGUAAGGGAAGAACGGUAGAUAGAGAAUAUCUAAGUGACGGUACCUUACCAGAAAGCCACGGCUAACUACGUG